GAGGAGCUGCUCAUCAAAACUAAGAAGGAGAAGCCCACCUUCAUCCCUUAUUUCAUCUGUGCCUGCAAGGAACUGCCCGGCAAGUUCCUACUGGGAUACCAGCCCCGGGGUAAACCCAGGAUAGAAUAUGUAACGGUGACUCCAGAGGGAUUCCGGUACCGGGGCCAGAUCUUCCCAACCGUGAAUGGACUGUUUAGAUGGUUUAAGGAUCACUACCAGGAUCCUGUACCAGGCAUCACCCCUAGCAGCAGCAGCAGGACCCGGACACCUGCCUCUAUCAAUGCUACCCCAGCCAACAUCAACCUUGCAGAUCUGACACGGGCUGUGAAUGCCCUGCCUCAGAACAUGACUUCACAGAUGUUCAGUGCCAUUGCUGCGGUGACAGGCCAAGGACAGAACCCUAAUGCCACCCCAGCCCAGUGGGCCUCCAGCCAGUACGGCUAUGGCGGCAGUGGAGGCGGCAGCAGUGCUUACCACGUAUGUGGCUUGGGGAGGAAGCUCCCUGUGCAGGGUGGGGCCCAUAGACUGCCCUCUCGCAUUGCCCACAAGGGGCUUCACAUGCACAGAUGGAGCUGCCACGGCCUUGGUAACUGUCUCCAACAGAUAUUUCUUGUCCUUAGGCCCAUUUGAAGGGGAAGAGGGUAAGAGAGGGCAUAACCUUUCCACGGGCCUUUGGGAUCUUUGGAACCCGCAAGCCACCAGAAAGUUGACAUGGUCAGGACCAGUGGGCACCACUGUGUGCUCGGUGCUGACCUGCAGGCUUCCCACUGCUGGUCAGAAGCACAUACUCAGUAGAAGAUCAUCUGGAAAGCUUUGCUGAGCCCACCCUUGCGCUUACCCAGAAUUCACAGCAAGGCCAAACAAGCCCCACACCCAUCCCUAUUUAACUGUUCAUGCCUCUCCAGGUAUUCCCAACGCCAGCCCAGCAGCCAGUGGCCACACCACUAAUGACCCCUAGCUACUCCUACGCGACCCCAAGCCAGCCCAUCACCACCCCUCAGUACCACCAGCUCCAGGCCAGCACCACCCCACAGUCGGCCCAGGCCCAGCCCCAGCCCUCUUCCAGCUCCCGGCAACGGCAGCAGCAGCCAAAGUCCAACAGCCAUGCAGCCAUCGACUGGGGGAAAAUGGCGGAGCAGUGGCUGCAGGAAAAGGAGGCAGAACGGCGGAAACAGAAGCAGCGGCUGACACCUC
rnacentral:sRNA from 1 species